UUACCUUUGGAUUCGUUUCCUGACGAAUGGGUGAAUAUCUAUGGAGUUAUGGCUUGGAAUAAGUAACUGAAUGGUCUCUCCGAUGAUAGGUAGACCCAUAGAACCAGGAGGGAGUCUAUGGAGUUAUGGCUUGGAAUAAGUAACUGAAUGGUCUCUCCGAUGAUAGGUAGACCCAUAGAACCAGGAGGGAGUUGAACUCGAACGCCAUUAAUUUUUGGGUAUUUCCAUUUAAUAAGCAAAUGAGUGUAAUAUAUGACGAAAAAUGCUACAAGGACCAACCCAAUUCCCAACAUUUUGUGCCCUUUUGCUUUAUCU
rnacentral:lncRNA from 1 species